rnacentral:lncRNA from 1 species
AUGUUUGUUUUCCUUUUAAAUUAUAUAAUAUAGAUUAUGGUCGAAGGAUAAACUAAAAUAGCUCCGCCGGCCGUCCCCGUAUAUUAUCACGCGAAGUAUGAACCGUCCCCGAGGCUCUCGGCACGCUGUGAAUUCGGGCACUAGGCGGCCUUCAGCAAAUGGCGCUGUCUUCUCCCUCCACGUUGCUGCUGUUCCUGCUAUACAUCUCUUCCUCCUCGAGCGCCCUCCUUAAUUACCCCCUCAUGCGUGAACCGUGAAGGUGUCACACCCGGUUUUAAAAUAAAAUCAAAUGCUACCUAUAUGUAUACUAGGAUUUAGUUUCAUACAUACAGUGAUAUCAUCAUUGAAUAACAGUAACAAUAUCACGUAAAGAAAUGUAAAUAAUAAUUUACGAGUCUAUUAGAGAUAUAUAGCUUAAUCCUGAAAACGGAGGCUCCAAACUUCACAGCCAAUCAACUGCCUAGAACUCAACAUCAUCUUCAGAAAACUUCACACACCUUCCUCUUCUGAGCAGCAGUAAGUAAGGGUGAGUACACUUAUGAUUGGUACUUAGCAAGGCCACAAGAAAUAACCAGAAUAACAAUUUAAGUCCAUCUUCAAGUUUAUUAAUCAUGUGAGGGUUUAGCUCGCUCUUGACCGUGAGCAUGGCUGAUAUAUCAGUUUUACACUCGCAGAGGUUGUACACUUUCAUUGCAAGUCAUGUAAAAGUUCAGAAGAACUUUAGACCCAACCAUGCUGGGCUGAUCAGGCACUCAUCACACUACCGAGGUGUGACUGCAUAGGGACGCUAUGAAGCCUUUACAAAGAUUCCCUAUAAGUGGCAACCCGCUAAGGUUUCAGGUCGAAACAGAGCAUAAACCUCUCUCAAGGCUGCGAAGCUACCAUAGAGCAAAUCAGUCUGAGGGCCGGGUUAUACCCCAUCAACUCCUCCCUUCUUGCCCUUUCGGUAAGAUUACCCCAAACCAGAGUCCCUAAUUAAUUAGCCAAGACCAGAGCCAUAUAGUCCUUGUGGUUGCACUAUUUUACUAGGUGGUUCUCCAUGUCCCAAUUAACAUUAUCAUAGUAUUAUAAAUAAGCAUAGAUAAAAGGGUGGUUAGGGACACUUGCCUUUCUCCAAAGAAAAGUUACUCUUAUUGUUCUUCAGCUCUUGCUCUCUUGAAACUCUUAAUCUUCAAAUCUUUCAAACAGCGAUCCUUAUACUCGAAACAAUCACCAACACAAACAUACAAGAAAACAAACAAGUACAACUAAGAACAAUACAGCAAUCAAAAGAAAAUCUUUAAAAGAGCGUACUAAAGGAUAGGGCUUGAUUCUAAGAUCGCGAGGAUGCAAGAAAGACUAGAAACGAUGCUAUGGUUGAAAAGACAAAGCUAUCGAGCGGUUUGAAUUAUAAAAGAAAACACAAGAGCUACAUGCUUCAUUUAUUUUAGUUGAGAAAAAUAAUUUAAAUAUAUUUCAGAGAAAUAUCCUUAGUUGGAAUUAAUCAAGUCAUAUUUACAUAUGAAAAGACGAUGUAAAGCUUAGUCCAAUUUUAUUUAUAAAUAUUUAAGUACAAUUUAAGCAUAUUAAACAUUUAAUUUGUAAAUAAAGUAUAUGUAAAUAUCUAAGCGCAUAGCUUUACGAUUCGGGUUGAACUAACCAAAUAUAAUUAAAAACACAUUUAUAUUUAUAUUAGUCAAAUUAACAUUUAAUUAGGAAAACUCGAGAUAUAACUUAUGUAGCUUUUAUUUAGAAAACAAAUUAAAUAAACAUUAAUCAAAUUAAGUUUAAUUUAUGAAAAGCUAAGGUAUAUCUCUAAUUAUCUUUUAAUUGGAAGAGUUAUUUAAAUAAACAUUAAUCAAAUUAACAUUUAGUAUGAAAACGCGGGGUUAACUCUAAUUAGAUUUUAAUUAGACAAGCAAGUAUAUAAGUACUUAAUCAUAUUAAUAUUUUGAAUAAAUUACAAAAUAUAGAAUAUGAUCAACAUUGCUUCUAAUGCAUAAUUUAAGAUUAUAUGAAUCUAACGCAACAAGAAUGAGGUUAAACGGAGCUAAAACAUGGAAUCUAUGGAUUAAACAAGGUUCUAAGGAUCUAAACAUGAUUAACUAUAGAUCUCAGGGGCUAGCAGAGAAGAUUGGCAAGACACAUGGAAUAGUGCUCGCCAUUAGGUCAAAGCCUAGGGUUAGAUCUGUUAAAGUGCUCGGGUUGGGCUGGUUUGCAAGGAUCCAAAAGAAGUAGGGGGUUUUAUGGGAAACUCGCAAGACACAAGAAAACUUCUAAACAUUAGAGAAUCUUCCGGGGGCCAAAUCGCAAAAAGGGUGAGGGGCUUCUCCUCCAUGGCUUGCAGCGGCUCCGGCCGGCAUGCCGGCGCUCUGGGCGAUGAUGGGCUCGGCCGAGGAGGGGAAACAGAAAGGAGAUGGAGGGGAGCUUGUAGGGUGGCUCACCGACGGCUGGAGUGGAUGGAGAUGGCCGUAAUUUGACCGGCGGCGGU